rnacentral:ncRNA from 2 species
ACUGGACUUGGAGUCAGA